rnacentral:misc_RNA from 1 species
CGCGCGGGCAAGUCCAUGGCGAGCUGCAGCACAAGCUUCCCACCGGCGCCUCUGCGCGCGAGCAUGAGGGCCACCAGGACGGCGACUGCAACGCCGACGAGCAGCAGCGCGGUGAUUCCGCCGGCCAGGCAAACCCGCCUCCGACGCGCUGCGCCCUGCAGCCGCCGGGCCUCCCGCAGCUCCGCCUCGGCCGCGCCCACGUGGCCCGCGGCCGUGCCCACCUGCUGCUCGAUAUCGUCCAGCGGCGCGCCCUGAACCUCCACGAGCGCGGCCAUAUCCAGGAACAGCUGCUGAAGCUCCAGGAGGCCGCGCUCCACCUCCGCCACCUCCUUCGCGGCCUCAUCCUGCUCCGCCCCUGCGGCGGACAACAGCGCCGCCCGCAUCGCCGCGUCGGAGGAACCGUCGGUGCUGGCCAGGAGGCGGUCCAGCUGCUCCUCGGUCGGCGCGUCCCCGGCCACGGCCAGGUACCGGCGGGCCGCGUCGCUCCGGCGCUCCUCGGAGACCUGCCGCCGGAGGGCCUGCACGUCCGCGGUGAGGUCGCGCACGCGGCCGCGGAGCCCCGCUGCGGUCUGCGCCGCGGGGGCCGGAGCGCGGCGGUCCAUGGAGGCGAGGCGCGCGCGGAGGCGCCGCGCGGACACGAGGAGGCGGACGAGCGCGGCCUGCGUGGCGGCGCGGCCCUCACCGGAGCCCACCACGGCGUUCUUGGACGCCUCAUGCGCGGAUCGGAGGUGGGACAGCUCGUCGCGCAACGCGAUCAUCUCGGUCUUUGCGGCGUCUACCUCGGCCAGGAACGCGCCGAGCUCCGGGUCGUCGCCGCCGGCAGGGGCGACCGCGCCGCCCUGUUGCGCCUUGGCCGCGGCGGCGACGAAGGAGUCGGUCAUGAGGUCGUUCAUCCUCGCUAGUCUGUGCCGGAGCUGCGGAGCAGCGGAGCUGGUUGCGAGGUGGAUCUUCGCUGGCCGGUGUCGGAGCUGGUUGCGAGAUGGAUUUUUGGUGUGGUCGGUCUCGAUCUCAAAUGGUCGCUGAAAAAAACAAGAUUUUUUUUCCUGCAGUUAAUCAAGUCG